AUUGAACGCUGGCGGCAUGCUUUACACAUGCAAGUCGAACGAGUGGCGCACGGGUGAGUAAUACAUCGGAACGUGUCCUAUCGUGGGGGAUAACUGAUCGAAAGAUCAGCUAAUUACGCAUACGAUUGGAGCGGCCGAUGCACGUUUAGCUAGUUGGUGAGGUAAAGGCUCACCAAGGCGACGAUCGGUCGCUGGUCUGCGAGGACGACCAGCCACACGGGAACGGCGACACGGCCCAGACUCCGACGGGAGGAAGCAGUGGGGAAUUUUGGACAAUGGGGGCAACCCUGAUCCAGCCAUGCCGCGUGCAGGAUGAAGGUCUUCGGAUUGUAAACUGCUUUUGUCAGGGAAGCGGUACCUGAAGAAUAAGCACCGGCUAACUACGUGCCAGCAGCCGCGGUAAUUC
rnacentral:rRNA from 1 species